AAAUUGAAGAGUUUGAUCAUGGCUCAGAUUGAACGCUGGCGGCAGGCCUAACACAUGCAAGUCGAACGGUAACAGGAAGCAGCUUGCUGCUUCGCUGACGAGUGGCGGACGGGUGAGUAAUGUCUGGGAAACUGCCUGAUGGAGGGGGAUAACUACUGGAAACGGUGGCUAAUACCGCAUAACGUCGCAAGACCAAAGAGGGGGACCUUCGGGCCUCUUGCCAUCAGAUGUGCCCAGAUGGGAUUAGCUUGUUGGUGAGGUAAUGGCUCACCAAGGCGACGAUCCCUAGCUGGUCUGAGAGGAUGACCAGCCACACUGGAACUGAGACACGGUCCAGACUCCUACGGGAGGCAGCAGUGGGGAAUAUUGCACAAUGGGCGCAAGCCUGAUGCAGCCAUGCCGCGUGUAUGAAGAAGGCCUUCGGGUUGUAAAGUACUUUCAGCGGGGAGGAAGGUGUUGCGGUUAAUAACCGCAGCAAUUGACGUUACCCGCAGAAGAAGCACCGGCUAACUCCGUGCCAGCAGCCGCGGUAAUACGGAGGGUGCAAGCGUUAAUCGGAAUUACUGGGCGUAAAGCGCACGCAGGCGGUCUGUCAAGUCGGAUGUGAAAUCCCCGGGCUCAACCUGGGAACUGCAUUCGAAACUGGCAGGCUUGAGUCUUGUAGAGGGGGUAGAAUUCCAGGUGUAGCGGUGAAAUGCGUAGAGAUCUGGAGGAAUACCGGUGGCGAAGGCGGCCCCCUGGACAAAGACUGACGCUCAGGUGCGAAAGCGUGGGGAGCAAACAGGAUUAGAUACCCUGGUAGUCCACGCCGUAAACGAUGUCUACUUGGAGGUUGUGCCCUUGAGGCGUGGCUUCCGGAGCUAACGCGUUAAGUAGACCGCCUGGGGAGUACGGCCGCAAGGUUAAAACUCAAAUGAAUUGACGGGGGCCCGCACAAGCGGUGGAGCAUGUGGUUUAAUUCGAUGCAACGCGAAGAACCUUACCUGGUCUUGACAUCCACGGAAGUUUUCAGAGAUGAGAAUGUGCCUUCGGGAACCGUGAGACAGGUGCUGCAUGGCUGUCGUCAGCUCGUGUUGUGAAAUGUUGGGUUAAGUCCCGCAACGAGCGCAACCCUUAUCCUUUGUUGCCAGCGGUCCGGCCGGGAACUCAAAGGAGACUGCCAGUGAUAAACUGGAGGAAGGUGGGGAUGACGUCAAGUCAUCAUGGCCCUUACGACCAGGGCUACACACGUGCUACAAUGGCGCAUACAAAGAGAAGCGACCUCGCGAGAGCAAGCGGACCUCAUAAAGUGCGUCGUAGUCCGGAUUGGAGUCUGCAACUCGACUCCAUGAAGUCGGAAUCGCUAGUAAUCGUGGAUCAGAAUGCCACGGUGAAUACGUUCCCGGGCCUUGUACACACCGCCCGUCACACCAUGGGAGUGGGUUGCAAAAGAAGUAGGUAGCUUAACCUUCGGGAGGGCGCUUACCACUUUGUGAUUCAUGACUGGGGUGAAGUCGUAACAAGGUAACCGUAGGGGAACCUGCGGUUGGAUCACCUCCUUA
rnacentral:rRNA from 1 species